rfam:Bradyrhizobium sp. NAS80.1 Bradyrhizobium_NAS_80.1_c193, whole genome shotgun sequence.
GUCAUCGCGAGGUGGGGUCUGAAGAAAGCGUGGAGCAAAGCCGCGGCCCGAUGGACAAACACCGGAUAACGA